CCCGCAGGGCUCCGGGCGGCCGUGACCCUGCUGGAGUGCGGGGGGGACCUCCAGCCCCCCGGGGGGUCCCUGCGCCUCCUCUGCCGAGGGGCCGGGUUCGAUUUUGGCAGUUUCUCCAUGUACUGGGUCCGUCAGAGACCCGGGCAGGGGCUGGAGUGGCUCGCAGGGAUCCACAGCGAUGGUUCCUACAUCUACUACGCGCCAUCGGUCAAGGGCCGGUUCACGAUCUCCAGGGACAACGGGCAGAGCUCGGUGACGCUGACCAUGAACAACCUCAAGGACGAGGAUUCCGCCAUUUAUUUCUGUGCCAAAUGUGAUGCUGCUAAUUACGCUGAACAUGCUGCUCGUAGUGACGAUGCCCAAGCUGUCCCCACCCCCAUCCCCGUGUCCCCCCUUGUCCCCGUUCCCCAGACCCUUCCCCCAGACCCCCAGCCCACACCCAGCCCUUGA